UUGCAUAUAGGCUUACAUAGAGAACAAUUGCAACCCAAUAUUGGAUUUAUUUUUCAAAAUUUUCAAAUUUGUAAAUUGUGUUAAAUGACCAGAAUAUAUUAUGUCAAAGGAUGUGUGUUUUUUGGUGCUUGUUACAUGUUCCAGCACACCAAUCACAUACAUUAUAGCGUGAAAUAGCAUUGUACUUUUGUCCCUUCGGAAUUUUUAGAGUGAGAUCGUUCUGUAAUAUGAUUUCUAUGGACACAAAUGGCAUGAAGUGUUUUUCUUUCUCCAACUUAUCCUUGGGCACAAGUAACACAAAGCUACAGAAAAGAAAAAACAUAACUUUAAUCAAUCAAAAGUAGUAAAAAAAAUAGAUUACUCUAGAAAUAUGAAUAUUUACCUUAUUGUUGAUGUUAUUGAAUGUCCCUGAAAUCAUGUGUAGUGUAUCUAUAUUUAGCAUCAUGAAGAGAAAAAGAAAAUCAAAGGAUUCGAACCAAUUUGACAAAUUGUUUCAUCUUAUCGAACAUUAUUUAGUCUUUCAAUCAAAAGUUCUUCUGUAAGCGAAAACCUGUCAUUUGAGAUUGCAAAUUAUGUAAUACUAUCAGCAACAACAGAAGAAACAAAAAAAUGGGAAUAGAAAUAUUGCAUCAUUUACAUACAAAAGAAAUGCUAAAAUCAUGAAACUACUAAAUGAAAAAGUGGAAGAAACAAAACAAAUAUAGUGAUUUUGAUGGGUUCCAAUCUUUUGUACUAAAAUGACCAUUUUGUCAUUCAUCUUGAAUAAAUAGAGUAUAUUUGCAAAACACAUUAAAUCAUAAUUUUUUUUCCAUAUCUUACGUAUAAACUAUCUCAUAAUAUAUGUAGAGGUGGUUAAUUACCGUAUUGUCCCCAUGGGAUGAGGCAAGUAUUUGGUCUUUUUUUGUUAUAUUCUAUCAUCAUAAGGUAUAUAUAUAAUUAAUACACCAUGAUCCAUAGUUAACUAUGAUGAUUCCAUUCAAUGUUAUGUACGAAUUGUUUCAGAACCUAAAAUGCAUAAAUGAAUUCCAAAGCUAAAUUGUUAACUGUGAACAAAUAUAUUCUUUGUAGGAUACUAAGAGUGAUUAAACUGAUAUCAUUAGGGUAUGGCAAAAAAUACCUUUUCGUGUUUUGUUUGACCUCCAUUAAUAAGAAAACUUUAUAGAUUCUCAGUCGUCAAAAAACAAAACCCUGAGUAAACACAAAGGAGAACAUAAACACAGUUAAAGAAGUUAAAAGCUAUGAUAGACCCUUAUGACCUUACCACCGACCUCACUUUGAUUAACACACACAAAAAAUGCCCAUCCACCCACCCUUACUUUGAUAGCAUCAUAACCCAAUUUAACACACACCAAACACAUGCUAUAUACCCCGGUCCCUCACCCCUUACCAUAGUUGAAGAUAUAGGAAUCAUAAACCUGAUUAUACGACCUGUGAAACACCAGAAGUAAAUAAUUAGUUAAUAAAAUCUGAAUUUGAAGGAUCAUUAACUUGAUAGAAGGAAUACAUGUAUGAAGAUUAGUGUCCUAAUUAGAUAACAACUGAUCAAAUUUGUAAUACUGGUCCUCACAUGGAAGAAUGAGAGGAUCGAUUAGUGUCUCCAAAUCACGAUAAUUGACAAAAUCGACCGAAGUUGGAGUCGGAGAAUGACGGAACGAAAUUGGAAGAAUCGGAAAGAAACACCCCCAAACCGGAAAAACUUUUGGAGUCUAUGACUGACCUACCUUAUAGUGCAGCAACGUCGGCAACAAACAACAAAAGGAGUGGAUGGAAUUUAGGAGAGCGAGGUUUAAGAAGGAAUUGAGAUGAGAGGAAUCGAUUUGGAAAAGAAAAAAGGAAAAGGAGGUGGAAGAAUCUGGAAUUUCUGAGAGAAAGAUGGACCGGUGAGAGCAGUUGUCGACAUAGUGAUCUUUGUAGUGGAAGCCAAAAGGUUUAUGAGAGAAAGUAUUGGGGGUGGAUGGGAGAAAAAGGCGGUGGGAGAUAAC
rnacentral:lncRNA from 1 species